GACGAACGCUGGCGGCGUGCUUAACACAUGCAAGUCGAACGGAAAGGCCCAGCUUGCUGGGUGCUCGAGUGGCGAACGGGUGAGUAACACGUGGGUGAUCUGCCCCUAACUUCGGGAUAAGCUUGGGAAACUGGGUCUAAUACCGGAUAGGACAAUCGUUUAGUGUCGGUUGUGGAAAGUUUUUUCGGUUAGGGAUGAGCCCGCGGCCUAUCAGCUUGUUGGUGGGGUAAUGGCCUACCAAGGCGUCGACGGGUAGCCGGCCUGAGAGGGUGGACGGCCACAUUGGGACUGAGAUACGGCCCAGACUCCUACGGGAGGCAGCAGUGGGGAAUAUUGCACAAUGGGCGCAAGCCUGAUGCAGCGACGCCGCGUGGGGGAUGACGGCCUUCGGGUUGUAAACCUCUUUCGACAGGGACGAAGCUUUGGUGACGGUACCUGUAUAAGAAGCACCGGCUAACUACGUGCCAGCCGCCGCGGUAAAAC
rnacentral:rRNA from 1 species